rnacentral:rRNA from 1 species
AUGCGUGAGCCUGCCCGGAGCCUCCAGCCGCUCCAAGCGCCCGUGCUGCUCCCCACCUCGGCUUCCUCUGCCGAUUGCCCUGGCCGCGCAUUGCUGAAUUGGACCGGCCGGAUCGCGUUCAGCUCUGCAACACUCGACAGUGGCGAUGUUCUUGUCUUUGCAAAGGGCGUCAACCAUGUUGCUGGCGGUGUCCAAUGCCUGUAUCGCUACUGCGGCGAGACCCAUGCCGUGGUGGCCUCCUUCCCGGCCAUCACGUCCGUACAGCAGGUUACCCGGUGCCCCGCUCCACCGAUCCAUCUGAACUCUAGGAACACAGAGUUCCGUGUCACCGUGGCAGCCACGGGCGAGGAUCCAAUCCCGACACUCGUGACUUAUCGUCCCCGGCAGAGUGAAAGUGGCUCGCUGGUGGCACCGGAAAAGAACCUGAUUUGUGCAUGCACCAUGAUCCACAACGUCUCAAAGUUUCUUCGCGAAUGGGUGCUGUAUCAUGCCGCUAUCGGGGUGGACCACUUCAUCCUGUAUGACAAUGGAAGUAAGGAUGACUUGGCAGAUCAAGUCGCUCAGUUGAGGUCCGCUGGAAUCAAAAUCUCUACCGUGCCUUGGCCAUGGAUCAAAAUGCAGGAAGCCGGCUUCUCCCAUUGUGCUGCAACGCACCAGAGCUCUUGCAGGUGGAUGGCCUUUAUUGACGUCGACGAGUUCGUUUUUUCGCCCAACUGGGAACGAUCUGAGAAACCGUCAAAAUCGAUGCUUGAAGAGAUUGUUCAGGUUGAUCCAGAUGUCGGGCAGGUAUAUCUGUGGUGCUUUGAUUUUGGCCCCUCUGGCCAAACAUCACACCCACAGGAGGGUGUCAUCCAAGGAUACACAUGCCGUCUGAAGAGGUUUCUACGGCACAAAUCGCUGGUUCUGCUUGCUGCAGUGGACCAUUCUUUGGAGAAUGCAAUUCACCACUUCACACUGAAGGCUGGUUUCAAAAGUAUACGGAGCAUGCAGGCACGUGUGAACCAUUAUAAGUACCAGGCGUGGACCGAGUUCAAGCAUAAGUUCAAACGACGAGUGUCCGCCUACGUGGCUGACUGGAGAGAUCCAAUCAACCUUGAGUCCGCUGACCGGGCCCCCGGCUUAGGUGUUGAUGGAGUCGAACCGGUUGAUUGGGCUCAAAGGUAUUGCGACAUCAAGGAUAACCUGCUUCAGAAAUUGAGCUCAAGAUGGUUCGGUAACGGAUUGGGAAGUCCGGGAUCUCAGGAUACUUAG